rnacentral:rRNA from 1 species
GACGAACGCUGGCGGCGCGCUUAACACAUGCAAGUCGAGCGAAGUGGCGAACGGGUGAGUAACACGUGAGUAACCUGCCUUACACAAGGGGAUAGCCUUUGGAAACGAAGAAUAAUACCCUAUAGUGUAAGAUGGACUUGCGUCUGAUUAGCUAGUUGGUGAGAUAAAGGCCCACCAAGGCAACGAUCAGUAGCCGGCUUGAGAGAGUGUACGGCCACAUUGGGACUGAGACACGGCGCAAACUCUACGGGAGGCAGCAGUGGGGAAUAUUGCACAAUGGGGGAAACGCUGAUGCAGCAACGCCGCGUGCGGGAGACGGCCUUCGGGUUGUAAACCGCUUUCAGCCAUGACGCGGUAGUGGCAGAAGAAGCACCGGCUAACUACGUGCCAGCAGCCGCGGUAAUUC